AAGGGUUCCUAACAUCGAUGAUA
rnacentral:siRNA from 1 species